UACGUAGGGUCCAAGCGUUAAUCGGAAUUACUGGGCGUAAAGCGUGCGCAGGCGGUUCGCAAAGACAGGUGUGAAAUCUCCCGGCUUAACUGGGAGGGGCCGUGCGAAACUGCCGGGCUUGAGGUCAGAAGGGGAAAGUGGAAUUCCGGGUGUAGUGGUGGAAUACGUAGAUAUCCGGAGGAACACCAGCGGCGAAGGCGGCUUUCUGGUCUGAUACUGACGCUGAGGCGCGAAAGCGUGGGGAGCGAUCCGG
rnacentral:rRNA from 1 species